rnacentral:rRNA from 1 species
UACGAAGGGGGCUAGCGUUGCUCGGAAUUACUGGGCGUAAAGCGCACGUAGGCGGCUUUCUAAGUCGGGGGUGAAAUCCUGGAGCUCAACUCCAGAACUGCCUUCGAUACUGGAGAGCUUGAGUCCGGGAGAGGUGAGUGGAACUGCGAGUGUAGAGGUGAAAUUCGUAGAUAUUCGCAAGAACACCAGUGGCGAAGGCGGCUCACUGGCCCGGUACUGACGCUGAGGUGCGAAAGUGUGGGGAGCAAACAGG